AGCCGGCGUUCAAACGCGACACUGGCGGCCGA
rnacentral:scRNA from 1 species